UACGUAGGGCGCAAGCGUUAUCCGGAAUUAUUGGGCGUAAAGAGCUCGUAGGCGGCUUGUCGCGUCGACUGUGAAAUCCCGCGGCUCAACUGCGGGUCUGCAGUCGAUACGGGCAGGCUAGAGUUCGGUAGGGGAGACUGGAAUUCCCUGGUGUAGCGGUGAAAAUGCGCAGAUAUCAGGAGGAACACCGGUGGCGAAGGCGGGUCUCUGGGCCGAUACUGACGCUGAGGAGCGAAAGCGUGGGGAGCGAACAGG
rnacentral:rRNA from 1 species